UACGAAGGGGGCUAGCGUUGCUCGGAAUGACUGGGCGUAAAGGGCGCGUAGGCGGGUCGCGCAGUCCUGCGUGAAAUCCCCGGGCCUAACCCGGGGCGGGCGGCCGAGACGGGGGGGCUGGAGUGGGGGAGAGGGUCGCGGAAUUCCCAGUGUAGAGGUGAAAUUCGUAGAUAUUGGGAAGAACACCGGUGGCGAAGGCGGCGACCUGGCCCUUUACUGACGCUGAGGCGCGACAGCGUGGGGAGCAAACAGG
rnacentral:rRNA from 1 species